rnacentral:tRNA from 1 species
AGGCCAGUAGCUCGAAUUGGCAGAGCAACGGACUCCAAAUCCGUGGGUUGGGGGUUCGAAUCCCUCCUGGCCUGCCA